rnacentral:rRNA from 1 species
AUUGAACGCUGGCGGCAGGCCUAACACAUGCAAGUCGAACGAGUGGCGGACGGGUGAGUAAUGUCUGGGAAACUGCCUGAUGGAGGGGGAUAACUACUGGAAACGGUAGCUAAUACCGCAUACCAUCGGAUGUUCCCAGAUGGGCUUAGCUAGUAGGUGGGGUAAAGGCUAACCUAGGACACGCUCCCUAGCUGGUCGGAGAGGAUGACAAGCCACACUGGAACUGAGACACGGUCCAGACUCCUACGGGAGGAAGCAGUGGGGAAUAUUGCACAAUGGGCGCAAGCCUGAUGCAGCAAUGCCGCGUGUAUGAAGAAGGCCUUCGGGUUGUAAAGUACGUUCAGCGGGGAGGCGUUACCCGCAGAAGAAGCACCGGCUAACUCCGUGCCAGCAGCCGCGGUAAUAC